rnacentral:rRNA from 1 species
AUUGAACGCUGGCGGCAGGCCUAACACAUGCAAGUCGAGCGGUAGCACAGAGAGCUUGCUCUCGGGUGACGAGCGGCGGACGGGUGAGUAAUGUCUGGGAAACUGCCUGAUGGAGGGGGAUAACUACUGGAAACGGUAGCUAAUACCGCACAACGUCGCAAGACCAAAGAGGGGGACCUUCGGGCCUCUUGCCAUCAGAUGUGCCCAGAUGGGAUUAGCUAGUAGGUGGGGUAACGGCUCACCUAGGCGACGAUCCCUAGCUGGUCUGAGAGGAUGACCAGCCACACUGGAACUGAGACACGGUCCAGACUCCUACGGGAGGCAGCAGUGGGGAAUAUUGCACAAUGGGCGCAAGCCUGAUGCAGCCAUGCCGCGUGUAUGAAGAAGGCCUUCUGGUUGUAAAGUACUUUCAGCGGGGAGGAAGGCGAUAAGGUUAAUAACCUUGUCGAUUGACGUUACCCGCAGAAGAAGCACCGGCUAACUCCGUGCCAGCAGCCGCGGUAAAAC